CCCGGUUUGUCACCGGCAGUCUCAUUAGAGUGCCCUUGCGUAGCAACUAAUGAUAAGGGUUGCGCUCGUUGCGGGACUUAACCCAACAUCUCACGACACGUGCUGACGACGGCCAUGCAGCACCUGUGUUCUGGUUCUCUUUCGAGCACUCCCAUAUCUCUACGGGAUUCCAGACAUGUCAAGGGUAGGUAAGGUUUUUCGCGUUGCAUCGAAUUAAACCACAUCAUCCACCGCUUGUGUGGGCCCCCGUCAAUUCCUUUGAGUUUUAAUCUUGCGACCGUACUCCCCAGGCGGGAAGCUUAAUGCGUUAGCUGCGCCACCGAUAAGUAAACUUACCGACGGCUAGCAUUCAUCGUUUACGGCGUGGACUAC
rnacentral:misc_RNA from 1 species